rnacentral:rRNA from 1 species
CUGGUUGAUUCUGCCAGUAGUCAUAUGCUUGUCUCAAAGAUUAAGCCAUGCAUGUCUAAGUAUAAGCAAUUUAUACUGCGAAACUGCGAAUGGCUCAUUAAAUCAGUUAUCGUUUAUUUGAUAGUACCUUACUACUUGGAUAACCGUGGUAAUUCUAGAGCUAAUACAUGCUAAAAACCCCGACUUACGAAGGGGUGUAUUUAUUAGAUUAAAAACCAAUGCCCUUCGGGGCUCCUUGGUGAUUCAUAAUAACUUCUCGAAUCGCAUGGCCUUGCGCUGGCGAUGGUUCAUUCAAAUUUCUGCCCUAUCAACUUUCGAUGGCAGGGUCUUGGCCUGCCAUGGUUACAACGGGUAACGGAGGGUUAGGGCUCGACCCCGGAGAAGGAGCCUGAGAAACGGCUACUACAUCCAAGGAAGGCAGCAGGCGCGCAAAUUACCCAAUCCCGAUACGGGGAGGUAGUGACAAUAAAUACUGAUACAGGGCUCUUUUGGGUCUUGUAAUUGGAAUGAGUACAAUUUAAAUCCCUUAACGAGGAACAAUUGGAGGGCAAGUCUGGUGAGCAUCUGCUGGUGCCAGAGAUAGUGAGGCCCUGUAAAUUUCACUAGUCGAAUGCAUCCAUUGGUGGCGGGUGGAUGCCGGCGAGACAACCUGGAUCGGGGAAGGCUAAGGGCCUAGUUGCCUAUGCUAAUCCCGAGCGGAGCUACCCUGUAAGGGGUAGCCCGUGUAGAGCGCGGAAAGGUGUCGGUCCUGCGGUCUUCCGCGGGGCUUAAGGGACGUGCCAGCCCCUACAGAAAUGUAGGCCAGAUACUCGAGCGCCCGCCGCGCAAAGGUGUCUGGGUACUGCCGAAUGUCGCAGUAUAGUAUCUUAUAUAAUAAACGGCCAGCAGCCGCGGUAAUUCCAGCUCCAAUAGCGUAUAUUAAAGUUGUUGCAGUUAAAAAGCUCGUAGUUGAACCUUGGGCCUGGCUGGCCGGUCCGCCUCACCGCGUGCACUGGUUCGGCCGGGCCUUUCCCUCUGGGGAACCCCAUGCCCUUCACUGGGUGUGGCGGGGAACCAGGACUUUUACUGUGAAAAAAUUAGAGUGUUCAAAGCAGGCCUAUGCUCGAAUACAUCAGCAUGGAAUAAUAGAAUAGGACGUGCGGUUCUAUUUUGUUGGUUUCUAGGACCGCCGUAAUGAUUAAUAGGGACAGUCGGGGGCAUCAGUAUUCAAUUGUCAGAGGUGAAAUUCUUGGAUUUAUUGAAGACUAACUACUGCGAAAGCAUUUGCCAAGGAUGUUUUCAUUAAUCAGGAACGAAAGUUAGGGGAUCGAAGACGAUCG